UACAGAGGUGGCAAGCGUUGUUCGGAUUUACUGGGCGUAAAGGGUGUGUAGGCGGUCCCAUAUGUCGGAUGUGAAAUCCCACGGCCUAACCGUGGAAUGGCAUCCGAAACUGUGGGGCUAGAGUGCAGGAGGGGAGAGCGGAAUUCUUGGUGUAGCGGUGAAAUGCGUUGAUAUCAAGAGGAACACCGGUGGCGAAGGCGGCUCUCUGGAAUGCUACUGACGCUCAUACACGAAAGUUGGGGGAGCAAACAGA
rnacentral:rRNA from 1 species